GACCUGUGGUUCAGUAGCAGAGCAUUUACUUUGCAUACAAAAGGUCCCAGAUUCAAUUCCUGGCAUCUCCA
rnacentral:tRNA from 1 species